rnacentral:rRNA from 1 species
UAGGGAAUCUUCGGCAAUGGGGGCAACCCUGACCGAGCAACGCCGCGUGAGUGAAGAAGGUUUUCGGAUCGUAAAGCUCUGUUGUAAGAGAAGAACGUGUGUGAGAGUGGAAAGUUCACACAGUGACGGUAACUUACCAGAAAGGGACGGCUAACUACGUGCCAGCAGCCGCGGUAAUACGUAGGUCCCGAGCGUUGUCCGGAUUUAUUGGGCGUAAAGCGAGCGCAGGCGGUUUAAUAAGUCUGAAGUUAAAGGCAGUGGCUUAACCAUUGUACGCUUUGGAAACUGUUAAACUGGAGUGCAGAAGGGGAGAGUAGAAUUCCAUGUGUAGCAGUGAAAUGCGGAGAUAUAUGGAGGAACACCGGUGGCGAAAGCGGCUCUCUGGUCUGUAACUGACGCUGAGGCUCGAAAGCGUGGGGAGCAAACAGG